rnacentral:rRNA from 1 species
AAUGAGCGUUGGCGGCAUGGAUUAGGCAUGCAAGUCGAGCGAGAAGGGUUUUGAAGCUUGCUUUAGAACCCGGACAGCGGCGAAAGGGAGAGUAACGCGUAGUUAUGUGCCCUAGGGUCCGGAAUAGCCACGGGAAACUGUGGGUAAUGCCGGAUAACAUCCCCGGAUCAAAGGUGUGAUUCCGCCCUAGGAGCAGACUGCGUCCUACUAGCUAGUUGGUGGGGUAAUGGCCCACCAAGGCAAUGAUGGGUAGCGGGGGUGAGAGCAUGACCCGUCUCACUGGGACUGAGACACUGCCCAGACACCUACGGGUGGCUGCAGUCGAGAAUCUUCGGCAAUGGGCGAAAGCCUGACCGAGCGAUGCCGCGUGCGGGAUGAAGGCCCUCGGGUUGUAAACCGCUGUCGUAGGGGAGGAAGGUUCCGUGAAGAGCGGAAUUUGACCUAUCCUAGGAGGAAGUACGGGCUAAGUUCGUGCCAGCAGCCGCGGUAAUAC